UUUGAUUAUGAAAUUCUAGUACCAUGAUAUAACAUGAUUUCAUGAAUGAUAUGUUGUUGAUGAACUUUGGUGUUUCAAUAUCUUGUUAUCUCUAGAUGAUUUGAAAUAUUUAAAUUUGCAUAAUUUUGGUUGAUGAUCAACAUGAUUUCUUGUUUAAGUUUCUUGUUGAAAACCAUAUUAAGUCGUUGGACUGAAUAGUAAGAUAAUCGAUUAUCUUAUCCAGAUAAUCGAUUAUCUUGAAAGGUUGACCAAAAUUUUGCAAAACAGUAGCACAGAAUAAUCGACUAUUUUUAUGAAAUAAUCGAUUAUUCUGUUUUGUUCAUCAAAAAUUUUUUGAAACAGAACCUGAGGAUAAUUGAUUAUUUUUAAAAUAAU
rnacentral:lncRNA from 1 species